rnacentral:rRNA from 1 species
CAGCAGCCGGGUAAUACGGAGGGUGCAAGCGUUAUUCGGAUUUAUUGGGCGUAAAGGGCGUGUAGGUGGUCUGAUAAGUCAGGUGUGAAAGCCCCUGGCUCAACCAGGGAAGUGCAUUUGAAACUAUCAGACUUGAGUACGGGAGGGGGAAGUGGAAUUCCUGGUGUAGAGGUGAAAUUCGUAGAUAUCAGGAGGAAUACCGGUGGCGAAGGCGACUUCCUGGACCGAUACUGACACUGAGACGCGAAAGCGUGGGGAGCAAACAGGAUUAGAUACCCUGGUAGUCCACGCCGUAAACGAUGGGCACUAGGUGUAGCGGGUAUUGACCCCUGCUGUGCCGAAGCUAACGCAUUAAGUGCCCCGCCUGGGGAGUACGACCGCAAGGUUAAAACUCAAAGGAAUUGACGG